GCCAUUUGUAACUUUUUUAUGCCUCUACACAUGGACAAAUCCUUGGCAGUUUAGCUUACCUAACCGAAUGGUUGAUAAACAACUAACUACACCAGUAACAGAAAGUAUAACAACCAAAAGUCAGUUUAAAUCAUCUUCCGCAAUAGGAACAUAAACCUAAAUUGCAUUACGCCCAUUUUCUGAUAGAAAAUUAAUACUAGUUACGUCGUUCAUAUGUUCUAGUACAAACAUAAAUCAACUAACACGUUCAAAGCAAUACAACUAAUCAAGAUGACUCCUUUGCUUUCCCGUUGCCUUUCGAACUUCCUUUUCCCUUGCGAAAUGUAAUGUUCAAGUUAAUCUCCAAGUCUCGUUCAUCGAAUAUUCGAGCAAGAGUGUUGAACAUACUUGACAAAUUUUCAACUUCCUCAGUUGCCACAGCAUUGAGUGCUUCAUUAGUGACACUUGAUUCUUCGCUUGACUCUCCUUGGUUGACCCAUUCGAAAAAUCCACAUUUACUACUGCAUAUAUUGAAUAAUUGCCUUUUGUUAGGCUUUUGCCUUUCAACCUCAAAACAUUUUUGAAAUCCAUGUGCACAUCGUGGUCAAUAAAGUUUUCUCUAGCAUUCAACAAAAAAAUGCUCAUUGCUUCUAUAGCUGUGACAAAUUCCAGCAUUCCUUCCUUUCAUAUCCUUAGAUGGGAAACAAGCACAUAAAUCAAUUUCACAAACCAUUGCUUAAAUUAACCCCAAGUGUUCAACAAAAGAUGCAGCAGGUGAAAUAAAUCAAUUGCAAAUGAGCUUGUCCAUUAUUGCAAGAAUACCCAAAUCAUCAAUUGCAAAUAAACUUUUGCCCAAAUUACUGCAAGAAUACCAAAUCAUCGAUCGCCAAUUUAUACAUAACAAAUCAAAUUAAUAUGAAAAUUAGCCUCACUAACGGGGAUGGAUUAAUCUCCAGUAACAUACAACAACAGUUGGGAUAUUAGCAGGAUGGAAACAGAGUUUCAUUUACCCAAAUGCAAUCAAUUGUUUCAUUUCCUUAAUACUAUUUCACAAGAAACUGAUUAACAAUCUCUCAAGCAGAUUUUAACCAUGUUCAGUAGAUAUGAAGCUCAGGUAAGAUAGUGAAUAAAUCUUAACCACCUGAGGGAAUAGUCCCAACUAUCAGCAUGUAGCUCAGGCAGGAUAGUUAAUAAAUUCAAAUCUUAUUAACCAACAACUCUUCAGCAGUAAAAUAAUCACAUAGAAUCGAUCCCUACACAGAUGGAUUGCAAAUCAGAGAAACAUAAUGUCGCAGGAAUUCAAAGUAAAGGGUAAAUAUUAUACCAUAUUACCCCACUUUAGUAAGAUAAAAGAAACGAUGCAGGGUUAUGUCUUCUAUGAAAAAACUCCUAAAUUUCUUAAAAAAAAAAAACCACUUACACAACCUGAAUGGACUAGCUGCUUUCGUGGCAGCUGACAAUGAGGAGAUUUUGCAGCGAAAUCGAUUGCGAGCAAGGGUUUGGCAAGUGAGUGCACCGGAUUUGUGCUGAGGGUGGAAGAGAGUGCACCGGAGUUUCGCCUCCGUUGCGAAGUGAAGGGAAGAGAUGGAUUUGGAGAUUGUUGGGGAGAGAAAUGACACUUGGCUGAUUUUUUCCCUUUUUAAAGUGCCACGAAGGCCC
rnacentral:lncRNA from 1 species